UGCAAGUCGAGCGGUAACAGGAGGUGCUUGCNCCUCGCUGACGAGCGGCGGACGGGUGAGUAACGCGUAGGAAUCUACCCAGUAGCGGGGGAUAGCUUGGGGAAACCCAAAUUAAUACCUGCAUACGCCCUACGGGGGAAAGCAGGGGCUCUUCGGACCUUGCACUAUUGGAUGAGCCUGCGUUGGAUUAGCUAGUUGAUGGGGUAAAGGCCUACCAAGGCAACGAUCCAUAGCUGGUCUGAGAGGAUGAUCAGCCACACCGGAACUGAGACACGGUCCGGACUCCUACGGGAGGCAGCAGUGGGGAAUAUUGGACAAUGGGGGCAACCCUGAUCCCGCCAUGCCGCGUGUGUGAAGAAGGCCUUCGGGUUGUAAAGCACUUUAAGCAGUGAGGAAGGCUUAACGGUUAAUACCCGUUAGGAUUGACGUUAGCUGCAGAAUAAGCACCAGGCUAACUCC
rnacentral:rRNA from 1 species